AGUGAACGCUGGCGGUAGGCCUAACACAUGCAAGUCGUACGGCAGCACAGUAAGAGCUUGCUCUUACGGGUGGCGAGUGGCGGACGGGUGAGGAAUACAUCGGAAUCUACUUUUUCGUGGGGGAUAACGUAGGGAAACUUACGCUAAUACCGCAUACGACCUACGGGUGAAAGCAGGGGAUCUUCGGACCUUGCGCGAUUGAAUGAGCCGAUGUCGGAUUAGCUAGUUGGCGGGGUAAAGGCCCACCAAGGCGACGAUCCGUAGCUGGUCUGAGAGGAUGAUCGGCCACACUGGAACUGAGACACGGUCCAGACUCCUACGGGAGGCAGCAGUGGGGAAUAUUGGACAAAGGGCGCAAGCCUGAUCCAGCCAUACCGCGUGGGUGAAGAAGGCCUUCGGGUUGUAAAGCCCUUUUGUUGGGAAAGAAAAGCAGCAGGUUAAUACCCCGCUGUUCUGACGGUACCCAAAGAAUAAGCACCGGCUAACUUCGUG
rnacentral:rRNA from 1 species